UACGUAGGGUGCAAGCGUUAAUCGGAAUUACUGGGCGUAAAGCGUGCGCAGGCGGUUGUGCAAGACAGAUGUGAAAUCCCCGGGCUUAACCUGGGAACUGCAUUUGUGACUGCACGGCUAGAGUGUGUCAGAGGGGGGUAGAAUUCCACGUGUAGCAGUGAAAUGCGUAGAGAUGUGGAGGAACACCGAUGGCGAAGGCAGCCUCCUGGGCCAGCACUGACGCUCAUGCACGAAAGCGUGGGGAGCAAACAGG
rnacentral:rRNA from 1 species